UUAAAAGCUAAGAAAAGGAAGAGUAAAUAAAACCACUAUUUAUAAGAGAGGAAAAUUCUUAGGCUGAAAAAUUUUCUUAAUAGUAUUUAUUGAAAACCACCUUAGAGCUGAAUACUGAAAUUAAGUAAGUAUUUCCGUUACCUGCGUUAAAGGAUCUCAAAGGAUAAUAAGGCAAAAGCCUAUUAUCAAAUUUGGGUGGAACCACGAAAUACUCGUCCCAUUA
rnacentral:ncRNA from 1 species